CCAACAACAUUCUGAGUUACAUAGUUUACGUCCUUGUCUUGGCCAGAGAAGUAAACCGGAGAGAUGAAGCAAAGACGAGUCAUAAUGUGUAACGCCGCGGAUCCCUACAAGUUCCAACGGCCGAAGAAACCCCUUGAGGAUUAAAAAGCAAGCUUCAGGAUAUAUAUAUCAAGUUACUCCCAACCACUGAGGUUUUUCAAGGACACGUUUGGAAGACCUCGAUUUACAAGAACACCACACAGCCUCCGUAUCUUGCUAAUCUUGCCUUUUAGCUCAGGUUCCGAGCCAGCCAAGCAAUUGCAUCAAAGAGUUCUUCUUAUGCUGCUUGUUUUGAUGUUGCAGGACAACCAACAGUUGGCUCUUGCGUUCAUUCCGUGCUGCUCGCUGCUGCAGAGCAUGAAAACGUUGCUUAAUGAGUCUCUCAGGCACAUUCCUCAGUCACAAGCCUAAUUUUCAGGCACUUGCUCUGAAGAAUAUUUACGGGAUCUUUGUAUUCCAACUUCUCUCGUCCAAAGCGUGGGUGGGGAUCACAGACAGGUUAUGCAACUUUUGCUUUUUAAGUUUUUUUGUUGUUUUGUUUACAAUUACAGUUUAGGGUUAAUUUUAUAUUGUGUAGCAGCGGAUCCGAGAUGGUUUUGAAGAAUGGACAAGUUUCAUUACCAAAGUUUGUCAUCUUAAUCUGAUUCACGAGUUUCAAGCCAACCACAGGAGAAGGUGGUCUUAUUUGCGCAUUACCAAACAGUUGCUGGAUAAAAAGCAAGCCUCAGGAUAUCUCAAGUUCCUAGACGAGUGUUUGUUUUUAAGCUUUGUCCUUUGAUGCAGAUCCUCGAGGCAAUGGUAUUACUGUACAGGAGGUUUGAA